GCCGCCAUGGCUUAGUGGUACAGCGUCUCACUCGUAGCAUCAGCUAGUAAUGAGAAGAUCCCUCGUUCGAUUCGGGGUGGUGUAU